GAUGAACGCUGACCGAAUGCUUAACACAUGCAAGUCAACUUGAAUUUGGGUUUUUAACUUAGGUUUGGGUGGCGGACGGGUGAGUAACGCGUAAAGAACUUGCCUCACAGCUAGGGACAACAUUUGGAAACGAAUGCUAAUACCUAAUAUUAUGAUAAUAGGGCAUCCUAUAAUUAUGAAAGCUAUAAGCGCUGUAAGAGAGCUUUGCGUCCCAUUAGCUAGUUGGAGAGGUAACGGCUCACCAAGGCGAUGAUGGGUAGCCGGCCUGAGAGGGUGAUCGGCCACAAGGGGACUGAGACACGGCCCUUACUCCUACGGGAGGCAGCAGUGGGGAAUAUUGGACAAUGGACCGAGAGUCUGAUCCAGCAAUUCUGUGUGCACGAUGAAGUUUUUCGGAAUGUAAAGUGCUUUCAGUUGGGAAGAAACAAAUGACGGUACCAACAGAAGAAGUGACGGCUAAAUACGUG
rnacentral:rRNA from 1 species